rnacentral:rRNA from 3 species
GACGGAGCAACGCCGCGUGAGUGAUGAAGGUUUUCGGAUCGUAAAGCUCUGUUGUUAGGGAAGAACAAGUGCAAGAGUAACUGCUUGCACCUUGACGGUACCUAACCAGAAAGCCACGGCUAACUACGUGCCAGCAGCCGCGGUAAUACGUAGGUGGCAAGCGUUGUCCGGAAUUAUUGGGCGUAAAGGGCUCGCAGGCGGUUUCUUAAGUCUGAUGUGAAAGCCCCCGGCUCAACCGGGGAGGGUCAUUGGAAACUGGGAAACUUGAGUGCAGAAGAGGAGAGUGGAAUUCCACGUGUAGCGGUGAAAUGCGUAGAGAUGUGGAGGAACACCAGUGGCGAAGGCGACUCUCUGGUCUGUAACUGACGCUGAGGAGCGAAAGCGUGGGGAGCGAACAGGAUUAGAUACCCUGGUAGUCCACGCCGUAAACGAUGAGUGCUAAGUGUUAGGGGGUUUCCGCCCCUUAGUGCUGCAGCUAACGCAUUAAGCACUCCGCCUGGGGAGUACGGUCGCAAGACUGAAACUCAAAGGAAUUGACGGGGGCCCGCACAAGCGGUGGAGCAUGUGGUUUAAUUCGAAGCAACGCGAAGAACCUUACCAGGUCUUGACAUCCUCUGACAACCCUAGAGAUAGGGCUUUCCCUUCGGGGACAGAGUGACAGGUGGUGCAUGGUUGUCGUCAGCUCGUGUCGUGAGAUGUUGGGUUAAGUCCCGCAACGAGCGCAACCCUUGAUCUUAGUUGCCAGCAUUUAGUUGGGCACUCUAAGGUGACUGCCGGUGACAAACCGGAGGAAGGUGGGG